rnacentral:rRNA from 1 species
AACGAACGCUGGCGGCAUGCCUAACACAUGCAAGUCGAACGAGACCUUCCGGUCUAGUGGCGCUCCGGUGCGUAACGCGUGGUCACUUGCCCUUAGGUUCCGUCUCCCUCCUCGUAAGGUGUGCUAAUACCGGUUCAUGUCUUCGGACCUAAGAUUUAUCGCCUUUGGAUGGGCCCUCGUUGGAUUAGCUGGUUGGUUGUGUAAAAGCCUAUCAUGGCGUCGAUCCAUAGCUGGUAGGAUAGGAUGAUCAGCCACACUGGGACUGAGACACGGCCCAGACUGGUACGGGAGGGAGCAGAGGGGAAUAUAGGACAAGGGAGGAAAGCGUGAUAAAGCAAUGCCGCGUGAGUGAUGAAGGCGGUAGGGAAGUAAAGCUCUUUUAGCCGAGAUGAGAAUGACAGUAACGGGAGAAGAAGCACCGGCUAACUCCGUG